GACAGUGUAGUCUAGAGGAAAGAGCACAGUACUGAGAGUCUUGAGACUUGGGUUCUAUUCCCAACUCUGCCA
rnacentral:tRNA from 1 species